AUGCCCACUUCUAUAGCACAUAUAUACUCAAAUUGGAACAAUACAGAGAAUAUUAGCAUUGACUCUGCGCAAGGAUGUCAUUCAAAUUCGUGAAGUGUUCCAUAUUUUU